rnacentral:rRNA from 1 species
UCUCCUACGGGAGGCAGCAGUGAGGAAUAUUGGUCAAUGGGCUUACGCCUGAACCAGCCAAGUCGCGUGAGGGAAGACUGCCCUAUGGGUUGUAAACCUCUUUUGUCAGGGAGCAACGCCGACUACGUGUAGCCGGACUGAGAGUACCUGAAAAAAAAGCAUCGGCUAACUCCGUGCCAGCAGCCGCGGGAAUACGGAGGAUGCGAGCGUUAUCCGGACUUAUUGGGUUUAAAGGGUGCGUAGGCGGAAGGCCAAGUCAGCGGUAAAAUCGCGGGGCUCAACCUCUCUCGGCCGUUG